rnacentral:rRNA from 1 species
GACGAACGCUGGCGGCGUGCUUAACACACGCAAGUCGAGCGGUAAGGCCUCUUCGGGGGUACACGAGCGGCGAACGGGUGAGUAACACGUGAGUAAUCUGCCCUUCACUUCGGGAUAAGCUUCGGAAACGGGGUCUAAUACCGGAUACGACACUUUCAGGCAUCUGAUGAGUGUGGAAAGUUUUUUCGGUGGGGGAUGUGCUCGCGGCCUAUCAGCUUGUUGGUGGGGUAAUGGCCUACCAAGGCUUCGACGGGUAGCCGGCCUGAGAGGGUGACCGGCCACACUGGGACUGAGACACGGCCCAGACUCCUACGGGAGGCAGCAGUGGGGAAUAUUGGACAAUGGGCGGAAGCCUGAUCCAGCAACGCCGCGUGAGGGAUGACGGCCUUCGGGUUGUAAACCUCUUUCAGUACCGACGAAGCGAGAGUGACGGUAGGUACAGAAGAAGCACCGGCCAACUACGUGCCAGCAGCCGCGGUAA